rnacentral:tRNA from 1 species
CCUUCGAUAGCUCAGUUGGUAGAGCGGAGGACUGUAGAUCCUUAGGUCGCUGGUUCAAAUCUGGCUUGAAGGA